CAAGCGGGGCCCCGCCCCCGGGCACCUAGGUUCUCCCCCCUCCCAUCCGUGCCCUUUAUUGUCAGGUGUCCUGGCCCUUUUCCCUUCCUCCUGUCUUCUGCGCCUGCCUUGUCAUCCCAGACCCUCUCCCGUCCUCUGCUGCCGGCCUGUGUCCGCUCCUCCGCUGCGUCGCCCGGCCUGUCCUAAUUUUCCAUCCCCAGGGCCCGGCCCGCCACCACUUUUCCUCACGCUCCUGUGCAGGGCCUGCUUUGCCCACCCCCCGCCCCCCGCCGCCGCCGCCGCCGCGCUCAUUUUCUGCUGACGCCGCACCCUGGGCCUGCUGCAGGGGCAAAGUGGGCCCGUCCCCGCCCUGUUCCCAAGGCAGCGGACCUGGCCUGCGACCUCCAUCUCCCGAGCAAACGUAGGCUGUCCCCGCCUCCCCCCGCUGCUUGCCAUGUUCUGUGUUACUGUUGCUUCCCAUCACUGAACCGGGGCGCUAACAGGCGCUCUGGGGUCCAGGCUCUUGCUCCGGGGGGCUGCAGGAAAAAGGCCACUCCACAGGGCCAUUUGCCGCCGCGGAGCUGACAGGCUUCCCACAGACGUCACCCGCUGCUGGAAUGUGCGGAAUGCGGAUUUGCAGGGGCAAAGUCCUCAGAGCGUCCCCAUCCCCGCCUCCUCCUGACCUACACUGAAAGCAGGCUGCAGCGACAACUGCAGGAAGGAGCCGGAGGGCCCUCACUGAAGGUGUAAGCCUUCUGAUCAGCGCUCUCCGGAGGUGCGGGAGUGCGGCGUGCAACGUGAAGCCUGAAGGACAAAAGCAUCCUAAAGCGAUCCAUCUGACGUAGAAAAUAAGUAAAUAACAUAGAGGUUGUUUAACUGUUACGGAAAAAGACGAGAUAAAAUAAUGCAAUAAUAUUUCUUUAUUUCUAGCACCCUGUCCCUGGGCAUCCUACAGGAUCAUAAUAGCUACACUGCCCUUGAAACAGCUGGCUGCUGUCCGCCAUACAAUAGUGCAUAACAAUAAGGGAUGAGAAAUGUAGCCAAGGACACCGAUGUAAUGAUUCUAUGGUUCUCAUUGUUCACAAAUAGUUUCAAAGGCUUCUUUGGAAAUCACUUCGUGUAGCUUUUAAAAAUUGUUUUGUUUUGCAGAACUUUAAAAAUAAAGUUAAUUUAAAAGCUGGGAAGAUGUUAAUCUGUUAUGAGUCAAAGCAGCAAAAUAAGCCUAUUCUAUUACAUAUAUACAAAUAUCAUAUGGUUAUGUAAGUCUUACCAACAUUUCUCUUAGUCUAGAAAAAGAUUAAUUAGUCAUACUGUUGGAUCUACUGUAUGGAUAAAAAAUCCUCUUUUGUUUGAACUGCUGAUUUCUCUGUUCUUCAUUUCUUUCAGCGUAUACCAUGUAAAUUGUUUGUCAAGACACUGUAUACUUAAAUAUAAUUGGAGGUAAUUUUUAACAUGUUAAAUAGAAUAGGCUGUUAAAAGGUAAAUUAAAGAUUUUUAGCUGAGAGAGCCAGCUGGAGAUCUGAUGACUCUUAUGAACCCUUGGAGCCCACAAUACAACCAAAUAAUAUUUUGUUUUGGUUCUGCAGGUAGAAGAGAGUGGGCUGAAAAUCCUAGACUGAAGGUCAUGUGGAUCCUUUUGUGUGGAGCUGGCAUGCACUGCUGCUGUUCUUGCAAGAAAAGAGUUAGGUGCUGUGGAUCCCAAGCAGAGAUAUGUGCCUCCCUCCAACUCAGACUUAGGUGCCUAACUCCCCAAGAAGGGUAGGAUUUAGGAUACACCCCUCUCCAUCACAUCUACAAUUAUUUAACUUAGGCAGCUCAGACUUUUGUGGAUCUCAUUCUCGGGCAUCAGUAUGUCUCCGACUCCAUGCAUUGUAUAGAGAGCAUAGGCACCUAACCUAGAGUUUGUGGAUUCCACUGGUUGGCUAGGGGUGCUAUCCAUGAAGCAACUUAGAUGUCUAAACUCCAGAUAUAGGUGCCUAACUCCCUGUAUGCAGCACCACUGUGAUCCACAAAAUUCCUAUUUGGCUGCUGCUUAACUUUCAAGGUUCCUAAUCUCACUUGUUGCCUAACUUUCCUGAGUAAGAGUUCCUGAGGUGCUUAAGUUUUAGACCCUGAUGCAUGCAUGCUGCUGCAUCUCUCUGGGCCCGUGGUUCCCAAACUUGUUCCGCCGCUUGUGCAUGGAAAGCUCCUGGCGGGCCGGGGCCGGUUUGUUUACCAGCUGCGUCCGCAGGUUCGGCUGAUUGCGGCUCCCAGUGGCUGUGGUUUGCUGCUCCAGGCCAAUGGGAGCUGCUGGAAGCAGCGCGGGCCGAGGGACGUUCUGCUCUAGGCACAUGGGUGCCUAUCCCCUGCCAAAUCCCAGAACUAGUCACAAGUGGGAAAAUAGGCAUUAGUCCACCUAAGUCACAUGCAGGGCCUGAUUUGGUAGGUGGCUUCCGAGCAUGCCUACUAGGUCAGGUCCCAUUCAAAAGCUGUCUGGAUGACAUGGUGGUCUUAUAAGUUCUGGCCUCCUGAUUAGUGCAUUUACUGGGGAUGUGGGUGACCCAGAUUCAAUUUUCACCUCUCUCUGAGAGGAGGAAGAAGGAUUUGAAUAGGGGUGUCCCACACUUUUCAGGAGGGUGCUUUAACCACUGAGCUAGAGGUAGUAGAGGGCUCCCUCAGUCUCUCCUCUUUAAACUGUUUCUCUCUGGAUAAAUAUUUAAAUAGCUAUGGGGCCAGAGAGAGAGCAAGUGCAAGAAUUACUCUGUAGUUCAGUGGUUGGGGUUCCUACAUAGGAGGUGGGAGACCCUUCAGCCAGUCCGCCUACUCCAAUUGUUCUUUCAUUAUUUAGCCCCAGUGAACAGUUUCAUCAGGAGAGAUUGAGGGAGCCCCAAAUCAGAAUAUCCCAGAGCUUAGUGAUUAGAGAGCUCUCCUGAGAGAUAGGAGACCCUAUUCAAAUUACUCCUGGGGACUUCUGUGCCAAAAAAUUAAAAAUUGUGUGCACAAUAUUUUAAAAUUCUGCAUAUUUUAUUUGUCAAAAUACAACAUAAUCACCCUUCUGCUGUCAGCCCCAGGCGGCUGGGGGUCCUGCUGAUAGCCCCACGUGCCUUGGGCUCUGCAGUCAGUCCUGCUUGGCUGAGGCUCCUGCUGUCUGUGGAAGCCCCAGCCAUCCAUGCCAGGUGCAGGUAGGAGUGCUGGGAGGAAAUCACAAAUGCGGUGGGAAAAAAUAAAAUUCUGCAGGGAACAUUUAUUCUGUGUAAAUUUUGCAUUGUGCAGUGGCACAGAAGUAUCAGUUUUUUUCCCUCCCCCUCUGACAGAGGGGGGAAUUGAACUGGGGUUUCCCACCUCCCAUGAGUUAUUUAAAUACUGUGCUAAAAGUUAUAAGGUGGGCAUUGGCACCAUCUCCUCCAGCUGUUUUGUGUGCAGCAAGACAGGUGCCAAACUCAUGUUCACACAUGGCAUAGGGCAUUUAAGCCCCCCUGACUUCAGGUGGCUGGUUCCUGUUCAUGGAUCACUAGCAGAGACAAGUGCCUGUCUCUGAGAGAUUUGUGAGGCUUACCACACACACCUAUUGUUGGCAUCUCCCGUUGGCUAGUUUUGGCAGCUCCCUGUCUAGCAUGUUGGCUUGUGUGGAUCAUAUGCUUCGGCUCUUCUCUCUCCCCAUUCAUUGUAUAGGAAACCUAUGUGCCUUACUUUGCUUUCUGAGUCACAACGUUGCUCCUGAGAGUUUCUAGGCCCCUAAAAAUUAGGUGGUGUGAUGUGAAGUGGUGCAGUGUCUAAGGCCCUUAGUAGUUCAGGUCCUCCAUACAUAGCUUGGCUGCAUUGUGUGUAUGGUUGCCCAAAGUAUGUGAGGUUGUAUGAAAUAAGUCACAAAGUCAUGAGUGAGUCAUGAGAAUAGUUAGGGUAGAGUAGGAUGUGGGAGGGGACGUAGGCUGUAAUGAGGGCAGAGAUGCAGAAUCCUAGCCUCUUUGUUUCCAGGUGCAUUGCUAGAAAAGAAGGGACUGUGUUUAUGUGGAAAACUGCUUGAUUUGUGUGUGAUUGUAGCUUCUGUUUUCACAUCUAGCCCCACAACUAAAGGAAGUUCUGUUCCUCUUCCUUUCUAAGUGCAAAAAAAUAUUAUUCUUGCUAGAACUGCUGAAACAAGAGGUUUCAUGAGAUGGAUACACUCACAAUAAAUUAAUAACCAGAAAAGGCAAUUAAUUAUUGCUAGCUACAGAAAUGCACUGAAAUCUAAAUCAGACUUUUUGCAGGUUUAAUUUACGUCUGUUUUAAAUAAGAUUUGUGCUGUGUCUAUAAUUUUGCUGUUUAAGGUUUGCCGUGCUUUGGGUUGUAUUCUCUUGUGCCAUUUUCUACGUCCCUCGGCCCGUGCCGCUUCCAGCAGCUCCCAUUUGCCUGGAGCAGUGAACCGCAGCCACUGGGAGCUGCGAUUGGCUGAACCUUUGGACACGGCAGGUAAACAAACCGGCCCCGCCCCCCAAGAGGGGCUUUCCCUGCACAAGCAGCGGAACAAGUUUGGGAACCACUGGAUUACAUUUUAUUAGAAUGCUAAAACAGUCUUCCAUUUAGUCUGUCAUCAACACCCUGAAGAAGAGCUCUGCAUAAGCUUGAAAGUUUGCCUCUCUCAUGAACAGAAGUUGGUCCAAUACAAUAUAUUACGUUGCCCACCUUGUCUCACUAACAAAAGCAGGUGUUGGGGUUUGUUUUUUUUAGUAAUUGUUUUCCCAUUACUUUCCAAGAAAUCUGUCUGCAUAGUAUUGUUUAUUAUAAAACUUGAGUUCCUUGAUGCAAGGGCUAGGACUUCUAUUUUCCAAUGGAUGGAGGAUAUAAACGAAAGAAAAAGAAGAAACUUGGGCAACACCUUUUUCUGUGAGAGUUGAUAGCUAUUUCCGUGAUGGAUUGAUUUAAAUAAUUGAUUUUAAUCUUGUUUUCUAUGUGUACUUUUCAAUUAUUUUCCUGUAGAAAGGUUUGUUCUCAUUGGUUGGUGUAACCAGUUGUUGAAAAUAAAAGUUUUAAAUAUA